GGGGUGAUGGCGUAGUUGGGAGCGCGUUCGACUGAAGUUCACUCAGUCUCAUCAUCGAAAGGUCACCGGUUCGAUCCCGGUUCGCCCCA